rnacentral:rRNA from 1 species
AUGCGCUUUGAAACUUUUGAAGAAGCAAAGAACUUCUACAACCUCUAUGCGAAGCACGCGGGUUUUGCUAUCAGGGAAGGCUCCAAGUUUAAGACCAGAGCCUACCUUUAUUGCACGUGCUAUGGAGUCUAUCAUUCGAAGGUGUCUGAAGCAAAUAGACAGCGAAACAAAACAACAGCCAGGACUAACUGCGGGGCUAAAAUGAGGCUGAAGAUUGAAAAGGAUGGAACACUUGUCGUAAAAGAGAUAGUCUGGGAACACAACCACAGGCUACAACUCACUCCGCAAAUGCUUGUCUUCUUGCACUCCCACAAAAACUUUGACAAAACAAUCUUGGAGUAUGUCAAGUACCUGCAGUUCAAAGGCAUUGAACACGCGCAAAUCAUGAGCAUAUUGGGCGGUGAUGACCCUGGUAGCUACUUCCUCGAAAUGAAUGCCAAAGACCUGAUUAACCUGAAAGCAAAAAAUUCAAGGAUGGAUGAUGUGGACGAUGUCCUAAAGACUGUCAACUUCUUUAGGGAGAUGAAAGCUAUAAACAGGGAAUUCUUCUAUGACAUGCAACUCGAUGAGUCCGACAGAGUUAAGAACAUAUUCUGGGCGAAUGCAAGCUGCCGAGGGGCCUAUCAGGACUUCGGUGACUGCGUAACAUUUGACACCACGUAUAAGACCAACAAGUACCAUAUGCCACUUGGGGUGUUUGUCGGUACUAACAACCACUUCCAGACUACAUUCUUUGGUUUCGCCCUGAUAAGAGAUGAGGAUGCAGAAUCAUUCAGAUGGUACCAGUGCCCGGCAAUGGCUUUGGUGAUACCAAAAUUUUUCAAGAACACAGUACACAAGUUGUGCCGCUGGCACAUUAUGAAGAAGUACAGGGAACACCUCGCAUACCUGUACUACCUGCACGAAGACUUCAAAGAAGAAUUCACAUCAAUCCUCAACUAGCCCCUCAUGCCAACUGAGUUUGAGGAUGCCUGGAAAGGACUCAUCGAUAGGUACAACCUCCAUGAUGAUGCCACGAUGCUGGCCAUGUGGAACGAGUGUGAGAAAUGGAUAUCAGCCUACUUCAAAAUUUUCUGUGCCAAAAUGACAUCCACACAGCGAAGUGAGAGCAUGAACUAUGUUCUCAAGAAGAACUUUGUAAGUGAGAGACAAAACCUACACCGGUUUGUCAGCCAGGUAAACUCCUGCGUCAAAACUAGGAGGCAGACAGAGAACCAAGAGACAAUGGGUAACAUGAAGGAACAAAACACGCUGACCUUCUAUGGGUUUGACACCCAGAUGGCAAAGGUUUACUCGCGAGCUGUGUACAGCGAGAUCAGAAAAAGGCUAAAACUAAGCACACUCUUCACGAUGACAGGGACGGAAGAGCCCACAAAGUACCUCAUGCACUACAACAACGCGCAAAAACUGUCUGCAUGGUCUCAGCACGCGUUCCAGGUGGUUGCAGACCCUGUGGGAGAAACAUAUGAGUGCGAGUGCAGGCUAUGGGACCACAUAGGUGAGGACUGCAAAAAAAGAUGUGACAUACUGUACUACUUUAUUUGCAAAGUUUUUGUUCGAAUGAAAUGA